AGAGCAGAGAGACAGCAGUGGAGUGCUCUACAUCUCUACUGCCCCUUUUCUAGCAGCUGUAAAGGACAAUUUUGACUAAAUAUUAACUCCCAUUAUCCAAAUAUUAUGCAAAUGGUGCUCUGGGCUAAAGCAAGGCUAAAGUAAACAUGGUCAGCCAGUUUAGCUUGGGAUAAAACUCUAUGACAAUAUAAUCACACACAACAGACAGUUUCUUUUUUUUUUGCUUCUUGUGGCCUGUGAUGAGGUGAUGAAGGUUGUCCAGUGAUGGUUUCCCUUCUCUCGAUUGGUGGUUCAGAAGAGGUGUGGUCUUUAUAAGGGCGCUUCCGGCGUUCAACAGCUCAUUUUUGUUUCGGUCGUGUUUGGGAAGAGAGUUCCGGGAUCCCUCCUCCGGACGAUGGUCAACCUUGCCAUCUUGUAAUGAAAAUGUGCCUAUUGAACAACCUGUUAAUUAUGUUCCUUUGUUCUUAAAGUGACUUCUCAAGCACGUGUAGCGUAGGGGUGUUCAGCCUGUUUAUUUUGUUAUCCUGGUUUGUACUUUGUUUUUGGUUAGGGAGUUAGGGAAGUUCAAUGUAUUUUAUUUCAUGUUCCCUUAGGUUAUUUAACCCCUUCCUCCUAUUGAUUUCGAGGCUUGUUUUUUUUGUUAUUUUUUUGCCUUUGGACACCCCGAAGAGAUUCUUCUAUUCACUUGUCACAUUUAUUUUCAAUAAAUUUAAACCUAUCCCUUAAUCAGUUCGGUGAACAUGUUUGAUUACAGACCGGAGCGAUUUGAAAUUGGGAUUGAUUCCACUACCUAAACUCUGUUCCCUUGUCAUGCCCUCUUGGAGGUUUUGUUUUCCCCUAGACGCAGGGGGCGUAACAAUGAUGCAAUUCCACAAGCAUGUGAUGUCCUGCCUUUUCCAUUUUUAAUUCAUUCUCCUGUGUUUUAUGAUUAACAAUGUUCCUAAAAUAUUUGUUAUGUUUAAGAUUUUGUUGUUGAGUUAUUGCUGUGUUCAUUAGACAUGUUUUGUCUGUAAAAAAUCUGACUGAAGCCAUUGCAAGUUUAACUCUAUAAACAUUUACUGCAUAUGUGUCACCAAUUAAGCAGAACUUGCUCCUGAUGACAUGGAAGUUUUAGAUCCCCAUUGAAACCCUAUUCCUGAUCACAACAAUCAUUUAUGCCAGGAUCCAUCCACCAUGAUGCAUUACUUAUAAGCAGCUGAGGAAAUUGCCGCAGCAUUCGUAGCAGGGAACUCGUGCCUAUACAAAGCCGGCACUUGUCUCACCUCGCCUUCCUUUGCUUUUCUUGUUCAUAUGCACUGUGCUGUAUGUGCUGCAGGCGGAGUUAAGCAAUGGACACGUCAUACCAAGAAUGCAAGAGUGUUUCAUAACAGAACCAAUGGAUAAUCUUGUACAGGUCUUUUCAGAACAAACAGUCUAUAGAGAGAACAAUAUGAGUAGAGCAGAGAGUAGUUUAUUAAUUAGUUUGCAAUACUGUAUAUUCACAAUAUACCACAAAAAUACAUAUAGAAAUUGCUCUCCACAAUAACUAUAGACUAACAUUUCUCUACGGGUUAACAAUCAGAAAAAUCUGCAGGUUUAAAAACUGGAUAUUAGACAGGAGACCUCUGAGAGUUGAGCAGCUGUGGUAGUGUUUUGUUUUUUAAGUACAGUAAUGUCAUAAGUCUAUAAAGUGGAUGUGCAGUGACUCAAUGUACAAAUUUGUGCAAUUUGCAGUGUAGUAAUUAAGCAUACAGUAUCAAUGUGGUCCAUCGUGUCCAUCAGUUCAGGAGACAAGAAUGACUUCUCUGAUUUUUUUUCCUUUAUUACAGCAAAGCGCCGCUGUUUGGCCGGUAAGACUUGGAGAGAGGACAUUUCCAUUGUCUAUGAUCCUCUCGAUCUUGUCCAGUUCUGCCACCAUCACCUAGUAUUUUUUAUUAUGAUCAGGAGUUCAGUAAAAUUGCAUCUAACAUCGAUUAAAUUACAACAAAUCAACGAA